rnacentral:misc_RNA from 1 species
CUGGGAAUAAUGGAUUACAAAAAGGAGUUGAAAAUUCGGAAGAUUCCUAGAAGAAAGCCUGUUAACAUAUCCGCAAAUAAUAGCUGCAAUAACAGUCAGAUUCCUUUGAAGCUCUUUCUGUCACCUGCCGAGGCAAAUGAAAUUUGAAAUUUACAGCCAUCAUCCUUCCCUUCUGGCUCUUCAUCAAGUAUCACUUGGUUG